UAGGACCACUGGAGGAUGCAAUUAUCGGGACUGUUUUUAAAACCUAAAAGCACGUUUCUUUAGCUGAACUCUGAAGGGACAGUAAAGAUACAGUAUUUUAUAAAUCAAUAUUCUGCAUCAAAAAGCAUCCCAACACUUUGAGAGGCCAAGGUGGGAGGAUCGCACGAGCCCAGGAGUUUGGGACUAGCCCUGGCAACAUAGUGAGACCCUGUCUCUACCAAAAAUUUUAAAAAGCUGGGUGUGGUGGCACAUGCCUGUAGCCCUAGCUACUCAGGAGGCUGAGGUGGUAAGACUGCUUGAGUCUGGGAGGUGAAGGCUACAGUGAGCUGUGGUCGUGCCACUACACUCUAGCCUGGGUGACAGAAUGAGACCUUGUCUCAAAAAAAAUAAAAUAAUAAAAUUUAAAAAAAUCCUUCAUUUAUCUCUACUUAUGUUUAGAUAGACAACUGCAUCCUGAAAUAGGAUGGAUUUUGUUCAGGUUAAUAUUAGAAGAGACCUGCUCUGAUACUACAUACAACAGAAAGGCAGUUUGCUCCUACUACAUACAACAGAAAGGAAAACUAAGGUGGCCUCCCUAUUAAACAUUUGUUGCACAUUUGCUGAUAUUUAUAGUAUUUUAUAAGAAACUGGCAUAUAACAGCAGGGCAAGGUGGUUCACACCUGUAGUUCUAGCUACUCAGGAGGGUGAGGCAGGAGGAUUGCUUGAGCCCAGCAGUUAAAGGCUGUAGUGAUCUGAUUCUACGACUGCACUCCAGCCCGGGUGACAGAGUAAGACCCUGUCUCAAAAAAAAAAAAAAAGAAAAAAAAGAAACGGCAUACAAGGCUGGGCAUGUUGGCUCAUGCCUGUAAUCGCGCAGCACUUUGCGAGGCUGAGGCAGAAAGACUGCUUGACACCAGGAGUUUGAGACCAGCCUGGGCAACACAGCAGGCCCUGUCUCUACAAAAAAAUAAAAUGCAAAAAAAAUUGGCACAUAAAAUUAAAGACUGUCCUGACUAGUGCCUGAAAUUAUGAUGAGUUUCUUCAAGUAUGAAUAUAUAACCACCACCUGGAAGGUUCAGUAAAUGCCCUCAUCAAAUACACGCUACCUUUGCACACUUUGUAGUAUGUAAGAUACUUGUGUAUUCAGAGUAACCAAAAUAUUUAAAGGUUAUUGGAUGUUAAGAAAACAGGCUUACCUUUUAGUGUUUUAAAUUUCAUAUAGUUUCUCAAUAGUACUAUUGUCUAAUAAUCAAAAUUAUUUUAUAUUUCUAAUCUAAACAAUAUUAAGCUUUCACUAUAUUUUCUCCGUACCUUCAUAUUAAAUGCUUGAGAUUUACUCUCAACUUCACAUGUUUGUGCAUCACUUUCUUUGCAGUAACUUUCUGCCCCAACUGUAUCCAUAAUAUUGCUUCCACAAUUCUGCGUAUUAUAGCCACUAUCCAUCUGACAGGAGAAAAAAGAAAAAAAUAUAUUGUGAGGAACUUAAAAGUCAAAUAUUUAAAUAAGUAAACCACUAUAAACUCUCAUUCACUACAUCUGAAUGAUCCUAACAUGUAAUAUUGAUCAUGUUGAACAAAAUUCAAAAGUAAUGCACAAAUAUAAAAGGUAGUCCUGCAUAGUACUGAUUAUUGUAGUCAUUUUACAAUUCCUUCCAAUGAAAUAUAUCUUGUAACUUCCUUAAGAAUCAGUGAACAGCCUACUGACACAAUGCUUUCCUGUUAUUUUGUGAUCGUACCUAGUAGACAAAAAUGAGUAUUACAACUAACUUCACCUUCCAACGCAUUUUCCAGGCUUGUCUCUAAAUGGCUUGAGGCAUGCUGCCUUUAAAAAAGUGGAUUAUAUUAUAUUUACACCUAGUUGUUCACAAUAAUGCCACAUAUAUAAUGGCUCUAGAUGUUAGUUCAGCUUUUCAUGUUAAUAAAAAUUGUAGCAUCCUAAGAUACACUGUUUCAGUGCAAAAGAGCAAAAAAGAAAGAUUCUAGCGAACUUCCAGCUUGGAAACAUUUAUUGAGUGUCUAAAAAGGCCAGGCACUAUCUCUAUAUAUUUAAUAUUUUUUUCUCCUUUCAACAACCCUAAUACUUUACUAGAGAAGGAAAUUAAGGCUUAAAAAGCUUAACUUUCACAAUGUCAUCCAGUGAUGAGGUGAUGAAGAUGUGAGACCUAAGUCCAGGUUCUGUUCACUGCACAACGCUCCAUUUACCUGUAUAAUGCUGAGCACCAAAGAAAGCAAUCCACAAGGGAAUCAUUUUGCAUUUAAGCCCUCCCUGCAAGUUAGGAUCAGAGGGAAGGAAAAAGCUGACUGUCAUUUUGUUUCCCUCACAAAGGUACAGACUAGCCUAGAAACGGCACUCUUUAUCACUUAAUAAUCCUGAAAAAAUGUUCCCAGAUUUCAAGGCUGGAUACAUAUCUGCUUACUACUAGAGGUCAUGUUCCAAUUAGAACAAAAGCCUUGUGAUGUGUAACAUUUUUGGGGAAAAGCCUUGUUCUGCUAUCAUUCAAUAGCUACUUGAUCAAAAAUAUAAAUGUCAGAUUGCUCCCAGAGAUUCUGCCAAUAGCUCUUCCUUCUAAUAUUCAUCACUGCCAAAUAGCUGGCUUAUAAUGCAAUACUAAUAUGUAACUGGAUAUAUAUGGAGGGAAGAGUUACUCAUUAGUACAGCAGGAAGUAAGGCAUGCGGGGAGUUUGUCCCACACUAUGGGAAGAGCAGGAUUGAUGAGAGCCAAGUUGAGAUGGUGGCUGACUUCACUGUCUCUCAUCUAGACUUCUGCUAAUGUCAAUGCCUAAUAUGUACCAACCAGGCAACAGAUACCUUGUUAUCCCCCACAGGCAUCAAGGCAGGCAUCAAUCUCACUUUAUAGCUAAGAAGGAUGAGGGGACAAAAAUUAAAAAGUCAUGUUCUAUUCACUGCUAUGUAAAUCUUGCCUUAAGAUCCCACAGCCUGGAAAUAAAAGAACUCUAAUUCAAACUUGGUUCUAAUUGCAAACUUUAUAUUCCAGUUGGGUCAUGGUGCCUUUAAAUGGUGUCUCUAUGUCAGUCAUUUAACAUGCACUUUGUUACUAAAUUUAUUUUUCUACCACAUAAAUCAGAUGUCAUUGUCUUUUAAAACUUUCAAUUGGCAACAGUUGUGCCCUGUGAUAACAUUCCUUGACAUCUGGGCCCAGCACUUUAGCCCUUCCCUCAUCAUUCUCAGUCCCCCUUGUUUGUUACCAUUCAAAGGACCUUGCCUUCCAUUACUACUUAUGUUUUUGCUUUUAUUAUUAUUUUAAACUGACACACAAUUACACAUAUUUAUGAUGUACAUGAUAUUUUGAUAUGUUUACAAUAUGUAAUGAUCAAAUUGGGGUAAUUAGCAUAUCCAUUAACUCAAACAUUUAUCAUUGCGUUGGGAACUUUCAAAAUCUGCUCUUCAAGCUAUUUGAAAAUAUACGAUAAAUUGUUAAUUACACUCACCGUAUAGAGCUAUAGAACACUAGAAUUACUCCUAUCGAGCUGUACUUUUGUAUCCAUUAACCAACCUCUCCCUAUCCCUGCUCCCCCUACCCUUCCCAUCCUCUACUACCUACCACUAUUCUAUACUCUUCUAUGAAAUCAACCUUUUUAGCUUCCACAUGAGGGAGUACAUGUGGUAUUUAUCUUUCUGUGCCUGGCUUAUUUCACUUAAUGUCCUCCAGUUCAUCCAUGUUGCUGCAAAUGUAAGGACUUCAUUAUUUUUUAUGGCUGAAUAGUAUUCCAUUGUGUAUAUAUACCACAUUUUCUUUAUCCAUUCAUCUAUUAGUGGACACUUAGGGUGAUUCCAUAUUCUGGCUAUUAUGAAUAGUGCAGCAAUAAACACUGGAGUACAGGUAUCUCUUUGACAUACUGAUUUCCUUUCCUUUGGAUAUAUACCUACUAGUGGGAUUGCUGGAUCACAUGGUAGUUCUAUUUUUAGUUUUUUGAGGAACUUCC
rnacentral:lncRNA from 1 species